rnacentral:rRNA from 1 species
GACGAACGCUGGCGGCGCGCUUAACACAUGCAAGUCGAGCGAAGCGGCGGACGGGUGAGUAACACGUGAGUAACCUGCCUUAGACAUUGGGAUAGCCCCGGGAAACCGGGAUUACUACCAUAUGGUCUAAGAUGGACUCGCGUCCCAUUAGCUAGUUGGUGAGGUAACGGCCCACCAAGGCGACGAAGGGUGUCCGGUCUGAAAGGAUGAACGGCCACAUUGGAAGUGAGACACGGUCCAAAAUCUACGGGAGGCAGCAGUGGGGAAUAUUGCACAAGGGGGGAAACCCUGAUGCAGCGACGCCGCGUGAACGAAGAAGGGAUUCGUAUCGUAAAGUUCUGUCCUAUGGGAAGCAGUACCAUAGAAGAAAGCUCCGGCGAAAUACGUGCCAGCAGCCGCGGUAAUUC